rnacentral:rRNA from 1 species
AUUGAACGCUGGCGGCAUGCCUUACACAUGCAAGUCGAACGGCAGCACGGGUGCUUGCACCUGGUGGCGAGUGGCGAACGGGUGAGUAAUACAUCGGAACGUACCUUAUCGUGGGGGAUAACGCAGCGAAAGUUGCGCUAAUACCGCAUACGCCCUGAGGGGGAAAGCGGGGGACCGUAAGGCCUCGCGCGAUUAGAGCGGCCGAUGUCUGAUUAGCUUGUUGGGGAGGUAAAAGCUCACCAAGGCGAUGAUCAGUAGCUGGUCUGAGAGGACGAUCAGCCACACUGGGACUGAGACACGGCCCAGACUCCUACGGGAGGCAGCAGUGGGGAAUUUUGGACAAUGGGGGCAACCCUGAUCCAGCAAUGCCGCGUGAGUGAAGCAGGCCUUCGGGUUGUAAAGCGCUUUUGUCAGGGAAGAAACAGCAGCUCUAACACAGUCUGCGAAUGACGGUACCUGAAGAAUAAGCACCGGCUAACUACGUG